GGAAGCCUUGUCAAGGCGAGGGGCUUGGCCAACUUAGCCUCCGAAGGCUCAGUGACCUCAGCUCUUGUUUUACCUGCUCCGGACCUGCAGCCCUUGCACUGCUCAGCCAUGGUCCUGCUACUCAUCCCUGUGCUUGAGCUGAUUUUUGCCCUGAGAGGAACCGGAGCACAGUCAGCCAGCCAGCCUGAUGGCCACGUCCCUGUCUCUGAAGGAGCCCCACUAGAGCUGAGAUGCAAAUAUUCAAUUUCUGGUACACCUUACCUCUUCUGGUACCGGCAAUACCCCAACCAAGGGCUCCAGUUUCUUCUCAAGUACAUUUCAGGGGACCCCCUGGUUAAAGGCAUAGACGGUUUUGAAGCUGAAUUUAGGAAGAAUGAAACCUCCUUCAACCUGAAGAAACGCUCAGCCCACUGGAGCGACUCUGCUGUGUACUUCUGUGCUGUGAGUGACACAGUGACUGAGACUGCAGGGGGAGCUGAGCACAAACCUCCGGAGACACUCGGACUUUCUGUGACUCAACAACUCAGCCUUGCACUGCCUGGGGAGUUCCCAAGAAGGUUUUUCUUUUUUUGUCCUGUGAAGCCAAAAGGGAAGAGUAGGUGGAGUUUGGGGAGUGCUUCAACAUCAAUGCUGUGCUACAUUCAGAUCACAUUUGAACCAGAUGGAGGUCUUCUAAUGAAUUUCUCCAGGAGGGACAUACCCUCCCCCAACUUCCCAUCCUACUCCCACACUGAUAAAAGUACAUCAUAA